rnacentral:rRNA from 1 species
AACGAACGCUGGCGGCAGGCCUAAAACAUGCAAGUCGAACGGGUGUAGCAAUACACCAGUGGCGCACGGGUGAGUAACGCGUGGGAACGUGCCCUUCAGUACGGGACGACGUCGGGAAACUGACGCUAAUACCGUAUAAUAUCUCCGGAUCAAAGAUUUAUCGCUGAAGGAGCGGCCCGCGUCUGAUUAGCUAGUUGGUGGGGUAAUGGCCUACCAAGGCUACGAUCAGUAGCUGGUCUGAGAGGAUGAUCAGCCACACUGGGACUGAGACACGGCCCAGACUCCUACGGGAGGCAGCAGUUAGGAAUAUUGGACAAUGGGCGAAAGCCUGAUCCAGCCAUGCCGCGUGUGUGAUGAAGGCCCUAGGGUUGUAAAGCACUUUCGUUGGGGAUGAUAAUGACCGUACCCAAAGAAGAAGCCACGGCUAAAUUCGUGCCAGCCGCCGCAGUAA